GUGGGGAAUAUUGGACAAUGGGCGAAAGCCUGAUCCAGCCAUGCCGCGUGUGUGAAGAAGGUCUUCGGAUUGUAAAGCACUUUAAGUUGGGAGGAAGGGCAGUAAGUUAAUACCUUGCUGUUUUGACGUUACCGACAGAAUAAGCACCGGCUAACUUCGUGCCAGCAGCCGCGGUAAUACGAAGGGUGCAAGCGUUAAUCGGAAUUACUGGGCGUAAAGCGCGCGUAGGUGGUUUUGUAAGUUGGAGGUGAAAUCCCCGGGCUCAACCUGGGAACUGCCUCAAAAACUGCAUGACUAGAGUACGGUAGAGGGUAGUGGAAUUUCCUGUGUAGCGGUGAAAUGCGUAGAUAUAGGAAGGAACACCAGUGGCGAAGGCGACUACCUGGACUGAUACUGACACUGAGGUGCGAAAGCGUGGGGACCAAACAGGAUUAGAUAUCCGUGUAGUCC
rnacentral:rRNA from 1 species